CCGGGGCGGGGCUAAGGGUAGGGGUGGCCCCUCGGUGGCAGCUCCGUGCGCCGCCCGGCCUGUCGCCCACACCGCGCGGUGCGCUCCGUCUGCGUGUUCGUCCACCUGGGCGCCCCUCUGCGGCCGAGUCCCAGCCCCGCACUCCGGGACCUGCCCGUGCUCCUCGCCUCCGCGGCCCCUUCGGCGGGGGAACCAGUACAGAGGACCCUCGCCCAGCGAAAAGCCCUCCCAGGCCUCGCGGAUAAGCGCCGGGCGGCGAGAGUGCCCCGGGGGUCCCGCUGACCCAGCGCAGCACAGGGCAGCCGCCGGCCCCGCUCUCGUCCUCGGGACCACCCCACCACCAGCACCACGUGCGCAGCGGGUCCAGCCCCAAGGUUUCCUGGAUGUCCCCGAGUCCUCGCCUGCGCCUGGCGAUCAGUGCCUCUGCCAGGCCCAGAGGUGGCUGGAAGAGGCUGCUCCCUAGCAGAAGACGUCAUUCCGAUGUGGUGUGCCCAGAAGAUGCAGAGGGUGAGGAGAGCGGCUCAGGAACUCAUGCUACCUGGCAGCCCUGGCCGCGGGCGUGUCCCUGGUUUCCCGGUGGUUCCCCAACCUCCGGAAAGGAGAGAACCAGUCCCCCGGCCCCUCCCGCCCACCAGGAUUCCGUCUGUAAGACGGAAGCCAGGAGAUGGCCAGGAAGGACAACCUGAACGCAGGCAAGUGGAGUGUCUUGACCCAGUAACAGACAUCAGAGGCCACCCAUCCAGGCGGAAAGCCAUCUCCAGUGGAGGGCCGAUCAGGGGCCAUCUGCGAGGGCAGGUUGCUCCUUCUGUCCGAGGCGGGCUUGGAAAGGUCUGUGCAGGACGGUGCCAAGGCCUGGCCAGGGUUUGGAGCCAUUCAGAGCGCAGGCCCCUAACGGGUCACUGGGCCAAGGUGCUUGCGGGCUUGUGGCCUGAAGACCUUUGUCCUGGGACCGACACCAGCCUGGUGUCCUGGUGGCAUACCACUUGGGGACCCUUCUUCUUCUGGCUCAGAGGGAGCAAAGGCUGCGUGCGUUAGAACAACAGAACGACGAGAAGUGGGAAGACCUGUCCGUGGACAUCCAACUUAUGGAGGAAGGCACGCCGGACUCCGAGGGGAAGCUGGAAUUGACCAAAACAGCUCUUAACACUUUCGGGGAAAUUAGUGAAAUCUGUCUAAGGGAGUGUCUGAGCUGAAGGAGUCCCUGAAACUGUGUGCAGAAGAAAUCAAAGCUGGAAAACCUGCUUGUCAUCUUGGAAGGACACGCUUUAAAGAACUUGCCAGAGGACCAGGGCUCCCUGGACGUGGCCUGAGAUGAGGGCAGGGAGAGGGGACACCAAGGCUCCAGGUGCACCUCCUCCUGGGCGGUGGGCCCCUCAGCUCCUGGGCCUGUGGCUGGAGCUCAGCUGACAGGAAACCACAGGGAGAGGAAGGCGGAGAAGGCAGAGACAGAUGGUUAAAAGCAGUUGAAGGCAACAUGGCAGCCUCACUUGACCUGACAUAGACCCCAGCUCAUUAUUUGCUCAUUGAAGUGCAUUGUCCUGCCACGUAACGCACCAGCGCCAUGACAGUUCACAGUUGGCUUUGACGGACACCCUUGUAAUCUGCCUUCAGUGGAGGACACACUAUGAGCCUCUCCCAGGGUUAAUAAGACUCUGAGAGAUUUUCUGGGAAACUGCUACCCUUAAACAGACAAAGGGAAACUAAAAUUUUAAAAGUUAAUGGAGUUGUUUAAUGCUAUCAUGAAUGGUUACUGUUUGUCCCGGUUGAAACUUGAGCAAGGUAUUUGAAAGGAUUUAGUAACUUACAUGAGAAAUUUGGCCCAAUCAGAAGCUGAUAUUUAAAAUCUGAUAGGAAUUUAUUUGGCUAGGAAUUUAUUUGGCCUUCUUUCCUAAAUUAAGAUAAAACUAAGUACCCAGAGGGAAAGAAGCAAAUUAAGGAUAAUGUAAUUGGAUGGGUGUGUCCUUAUCAAAGGAUAAGUAACUAAUCACCCCUGUUAAUCUCAAAAACUUGUGACCUCUCUGGGAGCUACUAUCUAGACCAUCCCAGAUUCCUAAGACUGAAAGAAAAAAGAAAAGGAAAAAACGAGAAAAGAAGCUUUUGGAGAUGCAGACUGUUAUGAAAGCACCCUUGCCCAAAAAUCUAAGGAAAAUUUUUAAACAGAGGCUAUAAAAUCUUUGUUUCAUCUGUCUGUUGUUUAUGUGUGUCUGUGUAUGUAUAUGUUAUAAAUGUGAGAUAGUUUUCUACUUCCAGAUGGUAUGGUCAAAAUUAAGAGUUCUGUUUAAUUGGCUUAAAGUAAGUAUUUGCAUAAAUUAUUUCUAAAUGUAGUAGAAACUAACCCAAAUGUCUUUCAAGUUAAGUGAUAUGAAAUAAUCUUUGGUAAAUAAAAGCUUGUUUAAGUUUGCUGGUUUUAUUAAAAUGGGCAUGUCCUCAUAGUUAUCAGCAUUGGAUAUGAUGCAGACAUGCAGCCUGGGUUUACUAGUCAAAUAAGCUCAUGGUAUCCUUGUUAUACAUUUGUCAGCAAAGUAAGAGCUUAAAAUGAUAACUGAGGUCUCAAAGCCUUUAUAAGCACUCUAAAUGCUUAUUGGAAACAGGUAAACUAAAUGUAAAAAAAGUAAAAGCUUUUGGGGAGACUUUUAAACAAAGAUUUGUGUCACGACGUAUGUAAUGCAACUUAAGACGAUGGCUAACUGCUUUAGUGUCAUGUAAAGUUUUUGUGUGUAACCUAAAUAUGAUUGUUGCAAACAGAUGCUUUAGAUGCAAGUGAGGUAAGAGUUCAUGGAUAAACUUUUAGCAAUAAUUAUGGUUUAUGACAUGAGUACCUAAAACAGCUUUGGUAACUUGAAAUUUUAAAGUUUUGCUAGGUUAAAUUAAAUGAUAAAAAUUCAUCAAGUAUCUAGAUCAUUUCCAAAUAAGAAAAAAUAUUAGGCAUUAAUUAUUAAAUAUCAGUUUAUCUACUUUGGGCUUCUUGAUACAGAAAAACUAAAGAUGUUUGGGUCUAUUAGUAAACAUGUCCUGUAUUUUAUUUAAAAAAUUGUGCUAUAAGGUAACAAAAGAUUUUCAUGUAUUGAGGUAUAUGGGGUAACUAUUUUGGUUCAAAACUGAUUCAGCUUGAACUAAAGAAGCCUGAAUUAUGGCCUAUCAAACAUAUGUUGUACGUCUGCUUUAACCAUUAAGGUAAAGAUUGCACUCUCUUAGGAUAAGAAUGCAGACUUCCCCUCCUACACCUUAUUGGUAAUGCCUGGAUUAGUCCCUUUCCUGACAUCAUGGUCAUGUUGACCUGCUAAUUUGCAACUGAAUACCCUUUGAAACUUUGAUGAAAAUGUAUCCUGGGUACGUUUAAUAUAUGCUCUUAUUCUAGAAAGAUAUAAGACUGUACUGAAAGCAUGCUCUCUGGAACACCUUCUAAGGCCUUCCCAGGUUACAGUCGUCACUCUGGCUCAAGUAAAACACCUCAUGUCUCUUAUCUAUAGAAUGGUUACUGGUUGUUUUGCAUGGACAAAGGUAACAUGUUUCUAGAAAUUACAAAAAGUAUGAGUUUGCCAAGUCACAGAAUGCUAGUGUAAAGGACAGUUCGUAAUUGCUUGCGUUUUAGUUUUCACUAAAAAUUAAGGUCUGUAAGGGUUGAGAAUUCUAAUUAGAGCCAGCCCUGAUGGCCUAGUGGUUAAAGUUCGCUGCUCUCCCUGCUUAGGUGGCCCGGGCUUGUUUCCCAGUCGCGGAUCCACACUACCCAUCUGUCAGUUGCCAUGCUGUGACGGCAGCUCACACAGAAGAACUAGAAGGACUUACAACUAGAAUAUACAAUGAUACAUCAAGCUUUGGGGAGAAAAAAA
rnacentral:lncRNA from 1 species